AGGAAAUGUAUCUUUGAGUGUGUGCAUUGCCACUGUAAAGAUAAUGAGGAUUCUAUUAUCAAAAGAGAGGAGAACAGAUACAGAAUAGGGAACUAUUAAUUUCUCCCAUAGCACUUUUACCCUUUCAGGUAAAGCAGGUUCCUGCUUGUUGAGUCCUUUGACUGCAUAUUAUGAUGGAAAGAUCACAGCCUUUGGAGUCAUUAGAUAUUGCUUCAAGUCUUGGACCUGCCCCUUACAAGGCAACGCAAACUGGUAUCCUACGUGUACAGCUUCGGCAGAUGGUGAUGCAGAAGGUUAAGCGUGAUUUUGGAGUUUCCUACACACCAUCUCCUCAUUCUUCUCAACCUCACACACCCCACGUGUACAGAACUCUGGCUGCCCGAGGCCUCCACCAUGACAUCCAGUGGACAUCUUGGUUUUCCCUGGCACCCUAAUGGCAUAAAUCCACCCUGUCUUUCAUUCUUUCCAGGCCUCUCCUUUGCAGAAUUUAACCAUGUAAGUAGAAAGUAAAAACCUGUGCAGGACUUAACUGUGAAUAAAGCCUAUAGG
rnacentral:lncRNA from 1 species